UACGAAGGGAGCUAGCGUUGUUCGGAAUCACUGGGCGUAAAGCGCACGUAGGCGGAUUUGUCAGUCAGGGGUGAAAUCCCGGGGCUCAACCUCGGAACUGCCUUUGAUACAGCAAGUCUUGAGUUCGAGAGAGGUGGGUGGAAUUCCUAGUGUAGAGGUGAAAUUCGUAGAUAUUAGGAAGAACACCGGUGGCGAAGGCGGCCCACUGGCUCGACACUGACGCUGAGGUGCGAAAGCGUGGGGAGCAAACAGGG
rnacentral:rRNA from 1 species